rnacentral:rRNA from 1 species
CACGUAAGGAGCGAGCGUUGUUCGGAAUUAUUGGGCGUAAAGGGCAUGUAGGCGGUUAUAUAAGUCUGAUGUGAAAUCCCACAGCUUAACUGUGGAUCCGCAUUGGAAACUGUAUGACUUGAAUCAGUAAGGGGUAACCGGAAUUCCUGGUGUAGGGGUGAAAUCUGUUGAUAUUAGGAAGAACACCGAUGGCGAAGGCAGGUUACUGGUACAUGAUUGACGCUGAGAUGCGAAAGCGUAGGGAGCGAACAGG